rnacentral:rRNA from 1 species
UACGGAGGGUGCAAGCGUUAUCCGGAUUUACUGGGUUUAAAGGGUGCGUAGGUGGGUCUGUAAGUCAGUGGUGAAAUCUCCGAGCUUAACUCGGAAACUGCCAUUGAUACUAUAGGUCUUGAAUUAUCUGGAGGUAAGUGGAAUAUGUCAUGUAGCGGUGAAAUGCUUAGAUAUGACAUAGAACACCAAUUGCGAAGGCAGCUUACUACGGAUAUAUUGACACUGAGGCACGAAAGCGUGGGGAUCAAACAGG